rnacentral:rRNA from 1 species
AGCCUGCGAGUUGCGAUGCGCAGCGAGGCUAAGGGAUGGGAGUCCCGGAGCCGUAGGGAAACCGAGUCUUAACAGGGCGAACACAGUUGCACGUCGCAGACCCGAAGCCAGGUGAUCUAGUUACGCGCAGGCUGAAGGCAGGGUAAAACCUGUUGGAGGGCCGAACCCUAGUCUGUUAAAAAAGGCAGGGACGACGCGUGACUCGGAGCGAAAGACUAAACAAACCUGGAGAUAGCUGGUUCUCCCCGAAAUGCCUUGAGGGACAGCCUCGUCAAAAUCUUUGGCAGGUAGAGCACUGGAUGGACUAGGGGGCUUCACCGCCUACCAAACCCAAUCAAACUCCGAAUGGCGAGAGACAACUGACGGGAGUGAGACUGCGGGCGACAAGGUUCGUAGUCGAGAGGGAAACAGCCCAGACCGCCGGCUAAGGUCCCGGAUGGCGUGCUAAGUGUGAAAUGAUGUGCGAUGGCGAAGACAGCCAGGAGGUUGGCUUAGAAGCAGCCAUUCCUUAAAAGAGUGCGUAAUAGCUCACUGGUCGAGUCAUGGCGCGCAGACAAUGUAGCGGGGCUAAGCACGCAACCGAAGCCGCGGCUUUCGCGAGCAAUCGCGAGAGGGUAGGGGAGCAUUCCACGGGCCGACGAAGGCAAACCGCGAGGGUUGCUGGAGGCAGUGGAAGAGAGAAUGCAGGUAUAAGUAGACGAAAAGACGGGUGAGAUCCCCGUCCGCCGGAAGCCUAAGGAUUCCUGGGUAAAGGCAAUCUGCCCAGGGUAAGUCGGCCCCUAAGGCGAGGGGGAAACCCGUAGCCGAUGGGAAACUGGUCAUUAUUCCAGUACCGUUCUUGGUUUCAAGGGACGACGCAUGAGGCGAAGCCCGGCCGGGCGACGGUAGUCCCGGUCGAAGCGCCAAGCUAGUGGGGCCGGAGGAAACGGCCGCAGGCGAGGCGUUACAGCGAGCGGAGCGACAGCGAAGCGAAGCGGGCGCAGUCACGGUGCCGAGAAACAGUCCCCUAUGGCUAGGCCAAGAAGACCGUACCGCAAACCGACACAGGUAGGCGGGAUGAGAAAUCUAAGGCGCUCGAGAGAAUUCACGUUAAGGAACUCGGCAAAAUGCGCACGUAACUUCGGGAGAAGUGCGGCCGCAGCCGGUUUUAGAAAUAAUGUUGGCGGCGGCGUCACAAAGCAGUCCCAGGCGACUGUUUAUCAAAAACACAGGCCUCUGCGAACCUGCAAAGGGACGUAUAGGGGCUGACACCUGCCCGGUGCCGGAAGGUUAAGGGGAGCGGUUAGGCGAAAGCCGAGGCUGCGAACCGAAGCCCCGGUAAACGGCGGCCGUAACUAUAACGGUCCUAAGGUAGCGAAAUUCCUUGUCGGGUAAGUUCCGACCCGCACGAAAGGUGUAACGAUCUGGGAGCUGUCUCAACGUGAAACUCGGUGAAAUUUAAGUACCGGUCAAGAUGCCGGUUACCCGUGGUUAGACGGAAAGACCCCGUGAACCUUCACUGCAACUUAUCGUGGGGACUUGGUCAGGCAUGUGUAGGAUAGGUGGGAGGCUUUGAAGUAUGGGCGUUAGCCUGUAUGGAGCCGACGGUGAAAUACCACCCUUGUCUGAUUAGGUUUCUAACGGGAUCCAUGAAGCUGGGUUCCGGACAGCGGUAGGCAGGCAGUUUGACUGGGGCGGUCGCCUCCCAAAGAGUAACGGAGGUGCGCGAAGGUCUCCUCGCGCCGGUUGGAAAUCGGCGCGCGAGUGUAAAGGCAAAAGGAGGCUUGACUGCGAGGCCGACAGGCCGGGCAGGUACGAAAGUAGGUCUUAGUGAUCUGGCGGUAGCGGGUGGAAGCGCCGUCACUUAACGGAUAAAAGGUACUCCGGGGAUAACAGGCUAAUCUUCCCCAAGAGUUCACAUCGACGGGAAGGUUUGGCACCUCGAUGUCGGCUCAUCGCAUCCUGGGGCUGAAGCAGGUCCCAAGGGUUUGGCUGUUCGCCAAUUAAAGCGGUACGUGAGCUGGGUUCAGAACGUCGCGAGACAGUUCGGUCCCUAUCUGCCAUGGGCGAAGGAUGGUUGAGAGGAGCUGUUUUUAGUACGAGAGGACCGAGACGGACGGACCGCUGGUGUGCCGGUUGUCCCGCCAGGGGCAAGCGCCGGGUAGCCAUGUCCGGAAAGGAUAACCGCUGAAGGCAUCUAAGCGGGAAGCCUGCCUCAAGAUGAGCCAUCCCUGGGGGUUCGACCCCCCCGAAGGCGCCAGGGAGACUACCUGGUUGAUAGGCUGGAGGUGCAAGCGCGGUAACGCGUUUAGCCGACCAGUACUAAUCCGCCGCGAGGCUUGACC